rnacentral:snoRNA from 13 species
UACAUAUUAUUAUGAUGAUAUUAUAGAGUAGGAAUCUCAUUGAGCUUCAGUCAUUCGUUGCCAUGAAAUUAAACAUCUCUAACUGAUAAAAGUGCU